rnacentral:rRNA from 1 species
GAUGAACGCUGGCGGCGUGCUUAACACAUGCAAGUCGGACGAUGAUGCCCAGCUUGCUGGGUGGAUUAGUGGCGAACGGGUGAGUAACACGUGAGUAACCUGCCCUUGACUCUGGGAUAAGCCUGGGAAACUGGGUCUAAUACCGGAUACGACCAUCUGGCGCAUGUCAUGGUGGUGGAAAGCUUUUGUGGUUUUGGAUGGACUCGCGGCCUAUCAGCUUGUUGGUGGGGUAAUGGCCUACCAAGGCGACGACGGGUAGCCGGCCUGAGAGGGUGACCGGCCACACUGGGACUGAGACACGGCCCAGACUCCUACGGGAGGCAGCAGUGGGGAAUAUUGCACAAUGGGCGCAAGCCUGAUGCAGCGACGCCGCGUGAGGGAUGACGGCCUUCGGGUUGUAAACCUCUUUCAGUAGGGAAGAAGCGAAAGUGACGGUACCUGCAGAAGAAGCGCCGGCUAACUACGUG